rnacentral:rRNA from 1 species
CCUACGGGUGGCAGCAGUGGGGAAUAUUGCACAAUGGGGGAAACCCUGAUGCAGCGACGCCGCGUGAGUGAAGAAGCGUUUCGGCGUGUAAAGCUCUGUCAGCGGGGAAGAAACACGGUUCGCGAGAGCCGCGGACGGUACCCGACCAAGAAGCCCCGGCUAACUACGUGCCAGCAGCCGCGGUAAUACGUAGGGGGCAAGCGUUAUCCGGAUUCAUUGGGUGUAAAGGGAGCGUAGACGGUGAGACAAGUCUGGAGUGAAAGGCCGUGGCCCAAACCCGGGACUGCUCUGGAAACUGCCUGGCUAGAGUACAGGAGAGGUAAGUGGAAUUCCUGGUGUAGCGGUGAAAUGCGUAGAUAUUAGGAAGAACACCAGUGGCGAAGGCGGCUUACUGGACUGUAACUGACGUUGAGGCUCGAAAGCGUGGGGAGCAAACAGGAUUAGAUACCCGAGUAGUC